rnacentral:tRNA from 3 species
GGCUUCGUGGCCUAAUGGCUAGGGCGCUAGAUUUCGGUACUUCCUGUCUGAUCCUCUAGAGAUUGUCGGUUCGAGUCCGGCCGAAGUCG